GACGAACGCUGGCGGCGUGCUUAACACAUGCAAGUCGAACGGAAAGGCCCUGCUUUUGUGGGGUGCUCGAGUGGCGAACGGGUGAGUAACACGUGAGUAACCUGCCCUUGACUUUGGGAUAACUUCAGGAAACUGGGGCUAAUACCGGAUAGGAGCUCCUGCUGCAUGGUGGGGGUUGGAAAGUUUCGGCGGUUGGGGAUGGUCUCGCGGCUUAUCAGCUUGUUGGUGGGGUAGUGGCUUACCAAGGCUUUGACGGGUCGCCGGCCUGAGAGGGUGACCGGCCACAUUGGGACUGAGAUACGGCCCAGACUCCUACGGGAGGCAGCAGUGGGGAAUAUUGCACAAUGGGCGGAAGCCUGAUGCAGCAACGCCGCGUGCGGGAUGACGGCCUUCGGGUUGUAAACCGCUUUCGCCUGUGACGAAGCGUGAGUGGCGGUAAUGGGUAAAGAAGCACCGGCUAACUACGUG
rnacentral:rRNA from 1 species